UAGUAGUUUUGGUAAAUUCAAGCGAUGUCCUAGUCCGAGUAGGACGACAACACAACUGGACAAGACAUUCAACUUCGUGCUAUAACUGCAUGGAGGCUCUGUUGCGACUUAAAAUAGUUUGCUUCAUAAACUUAACCUGGUUUUAAUUAAGCUUAGUAUGCCAAAGAGACUUUGAUAUUGUGUGGCUGUUGUAACUCGUUCGUCAUUGUUUUUAUCUUCAACAUAUUUUUGCAGUCUAAGCAAAUUUAAGAUGAAAGAGGAAGCCAGGGAUCAGGAAUUAUAAAACCUAAAGACUUUCCUGUUUCAGAAGAGGCUCUGGCUCCACCAAAUCACCAACCAGUUCUGAGGAUGAACCUCCACAUCGUCUUCAUGAUGGAAGGCUUUGUUUUUACUGAGCAGCUAGCUUUAACAGCAAAAACUGGACCCUGUGAUGGACUGAUGACCUGUCCAGGGUGAACCCCGCCUCUCAUCCGAUGACAGCUGGAGAUGGGCACCACCAUCAGCUUGUUCAGAUCAUGGAUGGAAAGCUUUUAAGCAAAGAAGUCACACAGAAAUGUGUUUUUCACACCAGGCAUCUGGUCCCAAUCAUCAUCAGUUUUGAUGAUGUCACAAAUAAAGCGAGUCCACAACAUCCUAAAAUUGUUUCUGUAAAGUGCAGUGGUCCAGUGAAUAGAAAUGUUCUGUUGUUGAUCCUCACUAUUCUCAAGGCCCUCUUUAGUUUUAAGGCAAUUUUUGCGAGUACAAAUGGCGAAUUUGAACCGCGUCUGUUAUCUUCUCUGGCUUCUUGGCUGUUCUUGGUGCUUUUUAAAAAACCUGAAAGUGCGCAUUACUGCCACCAUCUGGUCUGGAGUGUGAACUGGCGCCAAUGCCGUUCACUAACUGAUCAUACAUCUGAAAAUUGAUUGGGUAAAUGUUUUAGUUAAAAAAAAAAAAACGGACGUUUUCAG